rnacentral:rRNA from 1 species
GAUGAACGCUGGCGGCGUGCCUAAUACAUGCAAGUCGAGCGAACGGACGAGAAGCUUGCUUCUCUGAUGUUAGCGGCGGACGGGUGAGUAACACGUGGAUAACCUACCUAUAAGACUGGGAUAACUUCGGGAAACCGUAGCUAAUACCGGAUAAUAUUUUGAACCGCAUGGUUCAAAAGUGAAAGACGGUCUUGCUGUCACUUAUAGAUGGAUCCGCGCCGCAUUAGCUAGUUGGUAAGGUAACGGCUUACCAAGGCAACGAUGCAUAGCCGACCUGAGAGGGUGAUCGGCCACACUGGAACUGAGACACGGUCCAGACUCCUACGGGAGGCAGCAGUAGGGAAUCUUCCGCAAAGGGCGAAAGCCUGACGGAGCAACGCCGCGUGAGUGAUGAAGGUCUUCGGAUCGUAAAACUCUGUUAUUAGGGAAGAACAAAUGUGUAAGUAACUAUGCACGUCUUGACGGUACCUAAUCAGAAAGCCACGGCUAACUACGUG